GGGUUGAAAAGGCAAAUCUGCCUAAAGGCAGAGACGCAAAGUCACCGGUCUAACGGGGUACACCCUCCAAGACAGCGGGACCGUCAAC
rnacentral:ncRNA from 1 species